UUUAAUUUAAUAUAGGAUCUGCUCAAUGAUUUAUUAAAUAGCUGCAGUAUUUUGACUGUGCAAAGGUAGCAUAAUAAUUAGUCUUUUAAUUGAGGACUUGAAUGAAAGAUUUGAUGAGAAAUAAACUUUAUUAUUUAUAUAAUUAAAAUUUUAUUUUUAAGUAAAAAAGCUUAAAUUAUUUAAAGGGACGAUAAGACCCUAUAAAACUUUAUAGAUAUUAAUUUUAGUUUUUUUGGUUAUAUAAAUAUAUUAAUUUUAUUAUUUAUUUUAUUGGGGUGAUAAAAAAAAUUAUAAAACUUUUUUUAAAAUUUAACAUUAGUUAAUGAAUUUUUGAAUUAAAAUUUUUAAUUAAAGGAAAAAGUUACUUUAGGGAUAACAGCGUAAUUAAUUUUUUAAGUUCAAAUUUGAAAAUUAGUUUGCGACCUCGAUGUUGAAUUAAGAUUAAUCUUAGGUGCAAAAUUUUAAGUAUUAGGUCUGUU
rnacentral:rRNA from 1 species